rnacentral:rRNA from 1 species
AGCGAACGUUAGCGGCGGGCUUAACACAUGCAAGUCGAGCGAGAAAGGGGCUUCGGCCCUGAGUACAGCGGCGGACGGGUGAAUAACACGUAGGUAACCUUCCUUCCAGCGGGGGACAACGGUCCGAAAGGACCGCUAAUACCGCAUACGUUCCCUGGGACCCUGGUCCCGGGGAGGAAAGCUCCGCAAGGGGCACUGGAUGAGGGGCCUGCGUAGCAUCAGCUAGUUGGUGGGGUAAUGGCCUACCAAGGCUAAGACGCUUAGCUGGUCUGAGAGGAUGAUCAGCCACACUGGGACUGAGACACGGCCCAGACUCCUACGGGAGGCAGCAGUGGGGAAUAUUGGACAAUGGGCGCAAGCCUGAUCCAGCCACGCCGCGUGAGUGAUGAAGGCCUUCGGGUCGUAAAGCUCUGUGGGGAGGGACGAAUGGCGCCGUGAAGAGCGGCGAGUGACGGUACCUCCUUAGCAAGCACCGGCUAACUUCGUGCCAGCAGCCGCGG